rnacentral:lncRNA from 1 species
UCUUAUCUCACACACCCAUAGAUUCAUUAUAAUAAUGUAAUUUUGUUCAUCUGUGUCCAUCAAAUUCAUUAUGGCAUAUACCACAUUGAAUAUGAUCUACCUUGAGUGUCAUGUCAAUAUAAUGGAUAGUUAAUUACAAAGCCAUUAAAAAUCACAUUCAAUAUAUGCACUCUUCUCUCUACACAAAAUUGUCGAUGGCUCCAUUAGCCACAUAACAUAAGUAAACUAAAUUACACUAUUGUACAAAUCCCAAUACAUUUUACCAUUUCAUGCCUCCAAUUACUCAAAGUACUUGAAAGAUAGUAUGAAACUAAAAACUUCAGUAUCUUCUGCAAUAGACGUCUCUUCCUCCUUAAAUAAUCAAAAAUUGAAUCAUCAGAAAAAGAAAAGAUAGAUGAUACUACUAUUGUGAAUAGUUAAUCAUGAUUCUUCCCGCAGAUGACGAAAUCACGCAAGAAAGCACUUCGUUAUGUACAGCAUAUGCUUUGUUUAAGGUUGGAAAAAAAAAAAUUGAAGAUUAUAUAUUUAGGUCAUGUUUGGAUUAGCAACUGACAUCUCUUUAGGAGAGCUUAUGGAAACAGAUCAUAAUAUGGUCCAUAAACUGCUUCAGCUUAUUUGUAUAAGCUCUCCAAGAUAAUUCAUAUGGACUUACAAGUUGCAAUAACACUCCAAAAUACAAUUAAUUUGAACCAUGAAGCACACAGUCCUAGCUUGUAAGUAAUAUGGAUGAACUCAUGUGAUAUGCCAAUAUAAUACCAAACUAUGAUUUUUUGACAUAACAUUAGAAGAUU